rnacentral:lncRNA from 1 species
GGCUUGGUUAAAAGUUGAUUCCAUGUUUGUUGUCACCUGGUCCUAAUAUUAAGUGGGAUUAGUAAUCCCAGGCCCACCAAAAACACAUUCUUAGGUGUUCUUAGCUAAAUCCAUGUGAAAAUGAGGGACUAUUAGUCCCGACCAAAACUCUGCAACUAACUCCACCGACGCGCCGGCUGCAACCACCCUAAACCCUAAACCACCCAACGGCAAUCACAAUCACCGACUAUGGGUUGUAGACGGCGAUGGCAGGCAGCAACAGCGAUGGCAGACGGCGACGACAAAACACGACGACGAUUGAAGCUGUUCCACGAUUUAUCUUUGGGUCUUCAUUGAGUCUGCUUCUACCCUCUCUCUCUCAAGUUUUUUUGUGGAUAAUGAUUUUGGUGUGGGCUAUGGAUUUCUGCCAUGAUUUAGGUGUGAGCUCCUGCCUCUCCCUCAAAUUUGUUUCUGCAAAUUACUUACCACACCAAAGCCAAAGUAUCUGAAUUGGAUGAUGUUUUUAGGUGGGGUAGAAAUUAGAAGAAGAGAGAAUAUAGAUUGAAAAGAAGAGAAGGAGAGAGAGCAGGGAGAAGAAGAGAUGAAAAAGAAAAAAGACGCAGAGAGAAGAUGAAGAAGAAAGAGUAGAGGGAG